rnacentral:rRNA from 1 species
UACGUAGGUGGCAAGCGUUGUCCGGAAUUAUUGGGCGUAAAGCGCGCGCAGGCGGUCCUUUAAGUCUGAUGUGAAAGCCCACGGCUCAACCGUGGAGGAUCAUUGGAAACUGGGGGACUUGAGUGCAGGAGAGAAGAGUGGAAUUCCACGUGUAGCGGUGAAAUGCGUAGAGAUUUGGAGGAACACCAGUGGCGAAGGCGACUUUCUGGUCUGUAACUGACACUGAGGCGCGAAAGCGUGGGGAGCAAACAGG